CGGGGUGAGUAAUGUCUGGGAAACUGCCUGAUGGAGGGGGGUAACUACUGGAAACGGUAGCUAAUACCGCAUAACGUCGCAAGACCAAAGAGGGGGACCUUCGGGCCUCUUGCCAUCGGAUGUGCCCAGAUGGGAUUAGCUAGUAGGUGGGAUAACGGCUCACCUAGGCGACGAUCCCUAGCUGGUCUGAGAGGAUGACCAGCCACACUGGAACUGAGACACGGUCCAG
rnacentral:rRNA from 1 species